rnacentral:rRNA from 1 species
UACGUAGGUGGCGAGCGUUGUCCGGAUUUACUGGGCGUAAAGCGCGCGUAGGCGGGUCGCUAAGUCAGGGGUGAAAUGCCGAGGCUCAACCUCGGAACUGCCUUUGAUACUGGCAACCUGGAGUUCGGGAGAGGUGAGUGGAAUUCCGAGUGUAGAGGUGAAAUUCGUAGAUAUUCGGAGGAACACCAGAAGCGAAGGCGGCUCACUGGCCCGAUACUGACGCUGAGGCGCGAAAGCUAGGGGAGCAAACGGG